ensembl:lncRNA
CAUGGUAGAUUGAGAAGUAGUUUAUGUCGUUACUAAGCAGCGAGAACGGGCUGGUUUGCUAAGUAUUGGAAGGAAAUAACAAGCAUGAGCACAAGCGUUUCGAAUUGAUUUUUUUAAAUACACACUACUAGUUAUUAUCGACAAAUUUUUGUCGCCACACUGGCUUCGUCAAGUGACGUUCGAGAAAAGCUGCGAAAAAAACAACGUGAUCUACAAGACACGUUAGUAAAAAACAAACACGAAGACGACGUUCAGGCUCUGGUUCCACCCACCAAGUUGACUGAGGACCGGCGGAAAACAACAAUGAAG